UGGGGAAUUUUCCGCAAUGGGCGAAAGCCUGACGGAGCAAUACCGCGUGAGGGAGGAAGGCCUUUGGGUUGUAAACCUCUUUUCUCAGGGAAGAAGAAAGUGACGGUACCUGAGGAAUCAGCAUCGGCUAACUCCGUGCCAGCAGCCGCGGUAAUACGGAGGAUGCAAGCGUUAUCCGGAAUUAUUGGGCGUAAAGCGUCCGCAGGUGGCUCAUCAAGUCUGCUGUCAAAGACCGGAGCUCAACUCCGGAGAGGCAGUAGAAACUGAAGAACUAGAGACCGGUAGGGGUAGAGGGAAUUCCCAGUGUAGCGGUGAAAUGCGUAGAGAUUGGGAAGAACACCAGUGGCGAAAGCGCUCUACUGGGCCGGAACUGACACUCACAGGACGAAAGCUAGGGGAGCGAAAGGGAUUAGAUACCCGCGUAGUCC
rnacentral:rRNA from 1 species